rnacentral:tRNA from 1 species
GGUCACCUGGCUGAGUGGUGAGGCAGGGGUCCGCAAGGCCCCGCACAGUGGUUCGACUUCACUGGUGACCUCCU